CUCCUCCUUGAAUCCCCCCCCCCCCCAACCACAACAGGGCAAGAGCAAGUGCCCGAGGUCCCCAUAAUGAUGUUUAAGAUCUCAGUAACUGCUGAUUCUGUGUCUUUUUGAUAACACUGCAGGUCUUUCUGCCAGGCUGCUGCCUAAUACAUGUUACGUUGUAUCUUUCUGAGCCUCAGCCUGGUCACAUGAUGCUCUGUGUGUGAGAGUGAGACUGUGUUAGAAAAUGGCUCUGCUUUAGUUUGGGAGAUCUGAAAUCUGCCUGUGUUGGCGUGUUUGAUUGUGUCUGUGCCAGAGAAACUGCUUGUGAUUUGUGUAUUUGUAUGAUAAAGAGACUGAGGAUGAAUCUGUUUGUGUGUGCCUUAUUGUUCAGUGGGGGGUGGGUAGGUACCUGUGGCUGCUGCACCAAGGAAACCCACCAAAACCCAGUCUGACUCCUCUGUAUUUAUUCUGUCAGGAGAAGGGUUCCAGCAUACCCUGUGUUCCCAAGAUGCCUGGCAUGUCUACUGAACGGUACCCUGAGUCACCUGUGAGAGUUGUACAAAUUGAACAUUAAACUUAAUGUCAUAUUGUGCAGUUGAUAGAGUACCAGUACAGCAGGUGCAAUUGAAGCUGACCAGCCCAGUAAAUAUAAACAGAUGAUACUUCAUUCUCUCAAUAUA